ACGGCCAUACUACAUUGAAAACACCGGUUCUCGUCCGAUCACCGAAGUUAAGCAAUGUCGGGCCCGGUCAGUACUUGGGAGGGUGACCACUUUGAAAACUGGGUGCUGUAGGCU